rnacentral:rRNA from 1 species
AAAAACAUGGCCUAUUGAUUAUAAUUUUAGGUCUAGCCUGCUCAAUGAAUUUUAAAUGGCCGCAGUAUCUUAACUGUGCAAAGGUAGCAUAAUCAUUAGUUUUUUAAUUGAAAGCUGGAAUGAAAGGUCGGAUGAGAAAAUAGCUGUCUCUAUAAAAAUUUUUUAGAACUUUAUUUUUAAGUUAAAAAGCUUAAAUACUUGUAAAAGACGAGAAGACCCUAUAGAGUUUUAUAUUUAUAUUUAAUGUAUCUUUUAGUAUUGUAAAAUUUAUUAAAUUAUAAUAUUUGGUUGGGGUGAUUGGAAAAUUAAUUAAACUUUUCUUUUAGUUAAACAUUAAUUUAUGAAUAUUUGAUCCUUUUUAGAGAUUAUAAGAUUAAAUUACCUUAGGGAUAACAGCGUAAUUUUUUUUGAGAGUUCUUAUCGAAAGAAAAGAUUGCGACCUCGAUGUUGGAUUAAAAUAAAUUUUUGGUGUAGGAGCUAAAUAAAUUAGGUCUGUUCGACCUUUAAAAUUUUACUUGAUCUGAGUU